AACAUACAUAGAAAAAUUCUUAAAACCUUUUUUAUUGUAUGAUUGCCCCUAUAAUUAGUAUAGCUACAUGGUCAAAGUCGGUGUAAUAUAACUUAAAUAAUCUUUAGAGGAUUGAAGUUUCGCUAUUUGCAUCAUUUACCUACUUUCAUAGAAAAUGUACUUUUAUCUUGUGAAUAUUCUGGGCAAAUUUGCAAAAGUCCUGAAGAUGGACAAAGUGAAGCCUAGUGGAAAUGAAGGGUGGCUACGAGUCGUUAUGACAACCAACGACUCAUAGUGAAGGCUCGUGCUGACAACAGAAG
rnacentral:lncRNA from 1 species